rnacentral:ncRNA from 1 species
UCCAGGAUGGCCCAGCUGCGCCAGGGAAAAGAAUAGAAGAAGCAUCUGACUUUUUCAUGCUGAAAACUUGAGCGUUUCUUAUCACAACCGUUCUUUGUGGCAGAAGUUUUUACUGGUUCUCCAGGAAAGUAUGUUGCUAAACUGCCUGCUGAAUCCAUGAGCAGGCAAGAGACAACCUGGCAAACUGAAACAUCUUAGUAGCCAAAGGAAAAGAAAGCAAAAGCGAUUCCCGUAGUAGUGGCGAGCGAAACGGGAGCAGCCUAAACCGUGAAAACGGGGUUGUGGGAGAGCAAUACAAGCGUUGUGCUGCUAGGCGAAGCGGUUGAGUGCCGCACCCUAGAUGGCUAAAGUCCAGUAGCCGAAAGCAUCACUAGCUUACGCUCUGACCCGAGUAGCACCUUCUAUUUUAUAUGAUAUUUCAUAAGAAUAAA